rnacentral:misc_RNA from 1 species
UAGAGCCAAUUGGGGAUCCAAGCGAGUGUUUAUUGUUGAAGAACAUGUUUGAUCCAAGCGUCCAGGUGGAUCCAGAUUUAUAUAUGGAUGUCAAAGAAGACGUCGAAGAUGAGUGUUCUAAGUUUGGCACCGUGAAACAUAUUUUUGUUGACAAGAACACUGGAUUUGUUUACCUGAGAUUCGACAGUGUGGUGUCGGCAACUGAUUGUCAGCGAGCUAUGAAUAGGAGGUGGUAUGG